UACGUAGGGUGCGAGCGUUGCCCGGAUUUAUUGGGCGUAAAGGGCGCGUAGGCGGCUUGGCAAGUGGAUGGUGAAAUCCCUCGGCUUAACCGAGGAACUGCCGUCCAAACUGCUUCGCUUGAGACCGGGAGAGGUGAGUGGAAUUCCCAGUGUAGCGGUGAAAUGCGUAGAUAUUGGGAGGAACACCAGUGGCGAAGGCGGCUCACUGGACCGGUACUGACGCUGAUGCGCGAAAGCGUGGGGAGCAAACGGG
rnacentral:rRNA from 1 species